rnacentral:lncRNA from 1 species
GCUUCUCGCAGGCGGCGCGCUUGCUGGGUCACAGUGAGGCGGCUCCGCGCAGGCGCAGCCGGGCGGGCGAGGAGCGGGGAAGCUGACUCAGGGCUGCGGCCGGGGUCCUGCGGGGUAGGAGCGCGAGGCCGGCCUGAGGGAGGAGGCCUAGCGACCCAUCCGGCGCCUCCCGCCCCGGGCACCCGCCCGCGGCCGCGCAUCCUGCGGGCCCCAGGAGGCCUCCAUCUCAAAACAACGUGUUUUUAGAGAACUCAAGGGCUGUGAAAAGAGCAGGACCUCACCAGCUGCACGGCGGUGGUGACUGGCUCCAUCUUGCUGUCCCUCCCAAUCACACAACAUCUCCCCUUGAAGGCUCUGCCCAGGCCCGGACUCCCACCUUUCAAGAUGUCUGGAUCAGUGCAGGACCUCCUCCUUGGCCACAUCGCUCUCCUUGGACUGGUUCAAGUGAUUCUCCCACCUCAGCCUCCCAAGUAGGAUUACAGGUACACACCACCACGCACAGCUAAUUGUUUUGUAUUUUAGGAAGAGAUGGGGUUUCAUCAUGUUAGCCAGGCUGGUCAGGUGAUCCAUCCGCCUUGGCCUCCCCAAGUGCUGGGAUUACAGGCGUGAGGCACUGUGCCCGGCCUGCCCCCCUUUUCUCUUGAUGCACAUGACAGCCUUCUUGCAAUCAAGAAACUACGUGUGGCCAGGAUCUCAUCCACUAUCACAGUUUCAGCUUUCCCCAAACUGGAAUGUGUCUUUGCAGACGCCCAUCCUUAUUAAAGGGCAAAGACUUCUCAUACACCUAGGAUGGAUCUUAUAUUCUUGGCGGGACUGCAGAGAAGGUGCCGUGUCCUGAGUCCUCAUGUCAGGGCACAGGCUUCCAGCCAGUUCUACCUGGGUUAUGUUUAUCUCAAUUCCCUGGUGGUAUUGGUGUCUGCUGGGUUUUGCCAGAAUGAAGACACCGUGUUUUCAUUUGUCAGUUGAUUCGUAUUUUCCAGGAAGACAUUCUGAGAUUACAGCAUUGUCUUAGUCAAGGUGCUGCAGAAGGACAGAACUAAUAGGAUAUAUGUACAUAUGAAAGAAAGUUUAUGAAGAACUGGCUCACACCAUCACAAGGCAAAGUCCCAUGACAGGCCAUCUGCAAGCUGAGGAGCGAGGAAGCCAGCAGUGGCUCAGCCGGAGUCCAACAGCCUCAAACGGAAUCCAACAGUUCAGGCUUCAGUCUGUGGCCAAAUGCCCAGAGACCCCGGAAAGCUACUGGUGUUAGUCCCAGAGCCGGAAGGCCAAAGAACCUGGAGUGUGAUGUCCAAGGGCAGGAGGAAUGGACAGAAGCAUCCAGCAUGGGGUAAAGACGAAAGCCAGAAGACUCAGCAAGCUAGCUUACCUACUUUCUUCUGCCUGCCUUGUUCUAGCCGCGCUGGCAGCCGGUUGGAGGGUGCCCACCCCCACUGAGGGUGGAUCUUCCUCUCCUAGUCCACUGACUCAAAUUUCAGUCUCUCUGGGAGCACCAUCACACCAGAAACAAUACCAGCCAUCUAGCCACCCUUCAGUUCACCAUCACAACCAUUGUCUUAUUCAUGAAACUUCUGCAGACCCACCUUAACCUCCAUCGGUGACUUCUACCUGAAGCCCUCUGAUUGUUGCCCAGUGGUGCUUUUUAAAAUAAUUUCCAUAGUUUCUUCUACACCUUUAGUUGGCAUUCUACUGUAAAGGAGAGAUUUUAUUUUCUUACUCAUUUAUUUGUUAGUUUAUAGUCACCACCAUAUGGAUGCAGAGUUCUGUCUCAUUCACUGGGAAGUAUUCUAUUGCAGUCAUGAUUUAUUUUGAUGUUCACAUCCCAGAGUUGGUGAGUGAGCGCCCCUUCACGCUGGCUCCCGAGUGCUGACGUGUCCCCGUCCUUCUCUGCACUUUUCCUUACCUCCUGGCCUCAGAUAUUCCAGGGUCAUUUGUUCUCUCCCUGCUCCAACCCUGCAGUCAGCCAUCUCCCUAGGGACGUUGGUUCCUUUAUGGAAGGUGGCAUUUAGAAGCCAGGAUUUGGGCUGAGCACUGUGGCUCAUGCUUGUAAUCCCAGCACUUGGGGAGGCCGAAGUGGGCGGAUCGCUGGAGGCCAAGAGUCUGAGACCAGCCUGGCUAACAUGGUGAAACCCUUCCCCGUCUCUACUACAAAUAAAAAAUUAGCUGGGUGUGUUGGCACGUGCCUGUAAUCCCAGUUACUCAGGAGGCUGAAGCACCAGAAUCUCUUGAACCCAGGAGGCCGAGGUUGCAGUGAGCCAAGAUUGCACCACUGCACUACAGCUUGGGUGACAGCGCGAGACACCGUCUCAAAAAGGAUAAUAAUUUAAAAAACAGCAGGAUUUGGGUGAGCAGUGCGCUCAUUGCUUCUGGGCUCUCUCGGUGGACAUAGGCUAGGAAUGUAAGAUGUAUGUGCCUGUGUAUAUACACACGUCUGUAGCUAUGUCUAUGUUGCAUACAUGUGUUUUUCCAAAAACCAAAUCCAUAACCAUGCCUUCAGUUUCAGCCCAACACCUCCGGGCUCUUUCUAGCUUUCUACCUUUCAUGAUUGUGAAUACCUUCUCCAGCAGUGAGAAACCUGGCUCCUUUGUCCUCAGUGGAUUUUCUUAUUUGCUCAAUUUUUUUGUUUUUUGUUUUGUUUUUGUUUUUGAGACAGAGUCUUGUUCUGUCACCCAAGCUGGAGUGCAGUGGCAUAAUCUCGGCUUACCGCAACCUCUGCCUCCUGG